ACUGCAGUUAUAUAAUUAUUAUAAGAACAAACUUGUAAUUUAGUCGUUUGGAAAUUAAAGGCAAAUUGAAUUGAAAUACCGGGUCACUCUAUAAUUUUCUCGUUGAGAAGGGUGACUUGACGUCGUUUAGCGGCCAAUUGGGGCAUAGUCAGACCCAAAAUAAUCCAAAUUCAAAAUAAAACUCUCAAUUGCUUCUUACUUGCUCUAUCAUUCUCACUCUUCACUACUUUCUCAAUCACAGCCGGUAGGUCAACUGUCUUUCUUUGCUUCUUCAAGAUCCGAAAAAUGGCAAUGGAUACCAAUGAAGAAAGAAAUCCAUCCUCCUAUGUCUCAGAAGAGCGAGACGAAGAUUAUCUUCAUGAUGCUCAAGAGAGGAAG
rnacentral:misc_RNA from 1 species